UACGUAGGCAGCGAGCGUUGUUCGGAAUUACUGGGCGUAAAGGGCGCGCAGGCGGCCCUUGAAGUCAGGCGUGAAAGCCCCCGGGCUCAACCUGGGAGGUGCGCUUGAUACUCGAGGGCUUGAGUGCGGGAGAGGAGAGUGGAAUUCCCAGUGUAGAGGUGAAAUUCGUAGAUAUUGGGAAGAACACCGGUGGCGAAGGCGGCUCUCUGGACCGUAACUGACGCUGAGGCGCGAAAGCGUGGGGAGCAAACAGG
rnacentral:rRNA from 1 species